GUAGCCCAACUGGCAGAGGCUGCAAUUUCAAAGAUUGUAUUGUGUGAGUUCAAAUCUCACGCCUGAGUACCA
rnacentral:tRNA from 1 species